GAGGGUAUAGCUCAGUGGUAGAGUGCGUGUCUAGCAUGUACGAAGUCCUGGGUCCAAUCCCCAGCACCUCUG
rnacentral:tRNA from 1 species